AGGAGUCUAACCCCUAUGCGAGUGUUUGGGUGUCAAGCCCCGACGCGUAAUGAAAGUGAACGGAGGUGGGAACCCUUUGGGUGCACCAUCGACCGAUCCUGAUGUCUUCGGAUGGAUUUGAGUAAGAGCAUGGCGGAUGGGACCCGAAAGAAGGUGAACUAUGCUUGAAUAGGGUGAAGCCAGAGGAAACUCUGGUGGAGGCUCGCAGCGGUUCUGACGUGCAAAUCGAUCGUCAAAUUUGGGCAUAGGGGCGAAAGACUAAUCGAACUAGCGAGUAGCUGGUUCCUG
rnacentral:misc_RNA from 1 species